AGAGUUUGAUCCUGGCUCAGGAUGAACGCUAGCUACAGGCUUAACACAUGCAAGUCGAGGGGCAGCAUGGCUGAAGCUUGCUUCAGUUGAUGGCGACCGGCGCACGGGUGCGUAACGCGUAUCCAAUCUACCCAUGGCUCAGGGAUAGCCUUCUGAAAGGAAGAUUAAUACCUGAUGGUCUUGCGGGGUGGCAUCACCUUGUAAGUAAAGAUUUAUCGGCGAUGGAUGAGGAUGCGACUGAUUAGAUAGUUGGCGGGGUAACGGCCCACCAAGUCUUCGAUCAGUAGGGGUUCUGAGAGGAAGGUCCCCCACACUGGAACUGAGACACGGUCCAGACUCCUACGGGAGGCAGCAGUGAGGAAUAUUGGUCAAUGGGCGAGAGCCUGAACCAGCCAAGUAGCGUGAAGGAAGACUGCCCUAUGGGUUGUAAACUUCUUUUGUUUGGGAAUAAAGGAGACUACGUGUAGUCUUUUGCAUGUACCAUUCGAAUAAGCAUCGGCUAAUUCCGUGCCAGCAGCCGCGGUAAUACGGAAGAUGCGAGCGUUAUCCGGAUUUAUUGGGUUUAAAGGGAGCGUAGGCGGGCUGUUAAGUCAGCGGUCAAAUGUCAGGGCCCAACCUUGGCAUGCCGUUGAAACUGGCGGUCUUGAGUUCACACAAGGAAGGUGGAAUUUGUCGUGUAGCGGUGAAAUGCUUAGAUAUGACGAAGAACUCCGAUUGCGAAGGCAGCCUUCUGGGGUGUUACUGACGCUGAGGCUCGAAAGCGCGGGUAUCAAACAGGAUUAGAUACCCUGGUAGUCCGCGCUGUAAACGAUGAAUGCUGGACAUUGGCGAUAUACGGUCAGUGUCUGAGGGAAACCAUUAAGCAUUCCACCUGGGGAGUACGCCGGCAACGGUGAAACUCAAAGGAAUUGACGGGGGCCCGCACAAGCGGAGGAACAUGUGGUUUAAUUCGAUGAUACGCGAGGAACCUUACCCGGGCUU
rnacentral:rRNA from 1 species